CAGUGAGAGAACUGAGUGUCCCACUGG
rnacentral:piRNA from 1 species